UACGUAGGGUGCGAGCGUUGUCCGGAAUUACUGGGCGUAAAGGGCUUGUAGGUGGUUUGUCGCGUUGUUCGUGAAAACUCACAGCUUAACUGUGGGCGUGCGGGCGAUACGGGCAGACUGGAGUACUGCAGGGGAGACUGGAAUUCCUGGUGUAGCGGUGAAAUGCGCAGAUAUCAGGAGGAACACCGGUGGCGAAGGCGGGUCUCUGGGCAACAACUGACGCUGAGGAGCGAAAGCGUGGGGAGCGAACAGG
rnacentral:rRNA from 1 species